rnacentral:rRNA from 1 species
CAUAUGCUUGUCUCAAAGAUUAAGCCAUGCAUGUCUGAGUACAGACCGAUCUAAGGUGAAACCGCGAAUGGCUCAUUAAAUCAGUCAUAAUUCCUUGGAUAGUGAAAAAACUUCCUCGGAUAACUGUGGAAAAUCCAGAGCUAAUACGUGCAACUGAGCUCCGACCUCGGCGAGAGCCUUGGGAAGAGCGCAUUUAUUAGAUUCAAAACUGACCGACGUACUCUUUCGGGAUAUGUCGUUUGUCAAAAGUUUGAUGACUCCGGAUAACUAAGCCGAGCGCUUUGGUCUUUGUACCCGCGCCGUAUCUUUCAAGUGUCUGCCUUAUCAGCUUUCGAUUGUAGGUUAAAUGCCUACAAUGGCUGUAACGGGUAACGGGGAAUCAGGGUUCGAUUCCGGAGAGGGAGCCUGAGAAACGGCUACCACAUCUAAGGAAGGCAGCAGGCACGUAAAUUACCCACUCCCAGCUCGGGGAGGUAGUGACGAAAAAUAACGAUGCGAGACUCUUCCGAGGCCUCGCAAUCGGAAUGAGUCCAUUUUAAAUCCUUGGACGAGGAUCCAUUGGAGGGCAAGUCUGGUGCCAGCAGCCGCGGUAAUUCCAGCUCCAAUAGCGUAUAUUAAAGUUGCUGCGGUUAAAAAGCUCGUAGUUGGAUCUCCUAGAUCCAACUCGUGGGCGAGUCGCUCUUUGCACCGAUGUUAUCGUGCGGUUAACUUGUCUAGGUUUCGGAAGGUUUCCUCUUGUAGUGAUUUUCCGACUACCGAAACUCGAUAGCGGCGAUUCGUGGUCUUCGAGUAUAGCUCGUCCGCGUUUGGUACAAUACCAAAUUUGUUGGCUCGCUCAGAGUGCUCUUUACCGAGUGUUCCAGGGUGGCCGACACGUUCACUUUGAAAAAAUUAGAGUGCUUAAAGCAGGCUUAUAUACGGCACGAAUGUCUGUGCAUGGAAUGAAGUAACAGGACCUCGAUUCUGUUCUUUUUGUCGGUUUUAAUGAACCGAGGUAAUGAUUAAAAGGGACAGACGGUGGCAUUAGUAUUGCGACGCUAGAGGUGAAAUUCUUGGACCGUCGCAAGACUAACUACUGCGAAAGCAUUUGCCAAGAAUGUUUUCAUUAAUCAAGAACGAAAGUUAGAGGAUCGAAGGCGAUCAGAUACCGCCCUAGUUCUAACCCUAAACUAUGCUAACUAGCGAUCCGCCGGAGUCAUUCCCACGACCCGGCGGGAAGCCCCAGGGAAACCAAAGUUUUUGAGUUCCGGGGGAAGUAUGGUUGCAAAUCUGAAACUUAAAGGAAUUGACGGAAGGGCACCACCAGGAGUGGAGCCUGCGGCUUAAUUUGACUCAACACGGGAAACCUCACCAGGCCCGGACAUUAUAAGGAUUGACAGAUUGAGAGCUCUUUCUCGAAUUAAUGGGUGGUGGUGCAUGGCCGUUCUUAGUUGGUGGAGUGAUCUGUCUGGUUGAUUCCGAUAACGAACGAGACUCUACCCUACUAACUAGUCGGCGGAUCGUUACCCCUAAGAUGGCUCGUUGGUUUAGGAGAGUUUAGCCGAAGUUUCGUUUCUAUCUAAACAGUCCGUUCGGUCAACUAAUCGUUAUUGACGUUCGUGAGGUCUUUAGAGUCGAGCGGAAUUACAGGCGGCUUUCCGACAACUACUUGCUGUUGGGGGGCGUCCGUCGCACUUUAUCUUCUUAGAGGGAUCAGCGGCGUCUAGUCGCACGAGAAAGAGCAAUAACAGGUCUGUGAUGCCCUUAGAUGUUCUGGGCCGCACGCGCGCUACAAUGUAGGGCUCAGCGUGCUUUUCCUCUCCGAAAGGAGCGGGUAACCCAAUGAAACCCCUACUCGAUUGGGAUUGGGGCUUGAAAAUAUUUCCCAUAAACGAGGAAUUCCCAGUAAGCGCGAGUCAUCAACUCGCGUUGAUUACGUCCCUGCCCUUUGUACACACCGCCCGUCGCUACUACCGAUUGAAUGAUUCAGUGAGGGCAUCGGACUGGCGCCUUCGGUUUAGUAAAAUAGACCUUAGGCUGACGGAAAGAUGUCCGAACUUGAUUUUUAGAGGAAGUAAAAGUCGUAACAAGGUUUCCGUAG